UUAUCUAUGAAGUAGUUAUUUACAUACUUCACACUCUUUCAAAAUGAAAUAACCAAAAAAAAAUUUUUUUUUUUUUUUAACAAACAAAUUCUGGUAAUGAAACAAUUUUUUCUUAAUAGACUGACUUCGAAUAUUUUUUUAAAAUUGGGAAUAACAUUUUUUAAAAAUAAACACUGUGUCAAAAGGUCUGGUGAAUGUUUUAAACAAAAUUUUACUGAACUGUCGAGAACAUCUUUUUUUCGAACUAUUGUACUUUUACCAAACAUAACAAAUUCUCAAAAUCAAUUUUCAAAGGAUAAAAAUAAUAAUUACCAAUGCUUUUUUAAUUUGGCAUUAAAUUUUAUAUUUAUAUCAUUAACAAUUAUUUUUAUUAUCACUGUGAUUUUUGGAUUAAUUACAUUGUAUUUCAUUACUCGAGUUCUUGGAAUUAGUAAAGUAUUUCCUUCUGUUUUUUUAAAAGUAAUUGAAAUUUUAGAACCAACUUUUAUUAAAUUCGGACAAUGGCUAUCAAUUCAAAGAGACAUUUUCUCCAAGGAAUUGUGUUUGAAAUUCGCAAAACUUGAAAAAUACACUACCUCAUAUUUUUGGAUUUAUACAAGACACUUAUUGGAAGCGACAUAUGGACCAAAUUGGAAGGAAUUUUUGAUUAAAUUCGAUAGUACAACUUCCAUUGGUUCUGGAAAUUAUGCUCAGAUUUACAAAGCUUGGAUCAAUAGAAAGGCUGCAAUUAAUGAAAAACCCGAGUCAAAUAUGUCGAGUGUAAUUGAAAGAAAGAUAAAAAUUUUUGAAUCUACUAUCAAUUUUAUAAAAAUUUUAUUUGUUACAUUUCCACAGUGGUUUAGUUUCUAAAUUUCAAACAAAUUUUUUAUUUUUGGCGUGAACUAUCAAAUUUCUAAACCACAAAAAAAAUUCUUUUGCCGAAAUUGCACAUUUUUUUGACAACUCUUUGAAAUGUA